UGGGGAAUAUUGCACAAUGGAGGGAACUCUGAUGCAGCGACGCCGCGUGAGUGAUGAAGGACUUCGUUUCGUAAAACUCUGUUCUAUGGGAAGAAAAGGACUGUACCAUAGGAGAAAGCUCCGGCUAAAUACGUGCCAGCAGCCGCGGUAAUACGUAUGGAGCGAGCGUUGUCCGGAAUUAUUGGGCGUAAAGGGUGCGCAGGCGGCUUUACAAGUUGGAUGUGAAAUAUUGUGGCUCAACCACAAACGUGCAUCCAAAACUGCAAAGCUUGAGUUAAGGAGAGGUAAGUGGAAUUCCUGGUGUAGCGGUGGAAUGCGUAGAUAUCAGGAGGAAUACCGGUGGCGAAGGCGACUUACUGGACUUAAACUGACGCUCAGGCACGAAAGCGUGGGGAGCAAGCAGG
rnacentral:rRNA from 1 species